rnacentral:rRNA from 1 species
GUGAGGAAUAUUGGUCAAUGGGCGGGAGCCUGAACCAGCCAAGUCGCGUGAAGGAAGAAGGAUCUAUGGUUCGUAAACUUCUUUUGCAGGGGAAUAAAGUGCAGGACGUGUCCUGUUUUGUAUGUACCCUGAGAAUAAGGAUCGGCUAACUCCGUGCCAGCAGCCGCGGUAAUACGGAGGAUCCGAGCGUUAUCCGGAUUUAUUGGGUUUAAAGGGUGCGUAGGUGGUUUGAUAAGUCAGCGGUGAAAGUUUGCAGCUUAACUGUAAAGAUGGCGUUGAAACUGUGGGACUUGAGUGUAAAUGAGGUAGGCGGAAUGCGUGGUGUAGAGGUGAAAUGCAUAGAUAUCACGCAGAACUCAGAUUGCGAAGGCAGCUUACUAAGCUACAACUGACACUGAAGCACGAAAGCGUGGGGAUCAAACAGGAUUAGAAACCCGAGUAGUCC